rnacentral:rRNA from 1 species
AUUGAACGCUGGCGGCAUGCCUUACACAUGCAAGUCGAACGGCAGCAUGAUCUAGCUUGCUAGAUUGAUGGCGAGUGGCGAACGGGUGAGUAAUACAUCGGAACGUGCCCUGUAGUGGGGGAUAACUAGUCGAAAGAUUAGCUAAUACCGCAUACGACCUGAGGGUGAAGUGGGGGACCGCAAGGCCUCAUGCUAUAGGAGCGGCCGAUGUCUGAUUAGCUAGUUGGUGAGGUAAAGGCUCACCAAGGCGACGAUCAGUAGCUGGUCUGAGAGGACGAUCAGCCACACUGGGACUGAGACACGGCCCAGACUCCUACGGGAGGCAGCAGUGGGGAAUUUUGGACAAUGGGCGAAAGCCUGAUCCAGCAAUGUCGCGUGUGUGAAGAAGGCCUUCGGGUUGUAAAGCACUUUUGUCCGGAAAGAAAUGGCUCUGGUUAAUACCUGGGGUCGAUGACGGUACCGGAAGAAUAAGGACCGGCUAACUACGUG